rnacentral:rRNA from 1 species
UACGGGGGGAGCAAGCGUUGUUCGGAUUUACUGGGCGUAAAGGGCGCGUAGGCGGUCGUGACAAGUCACUUGUGAAAUCUCCGGGCUUAACUCGGAACGGUCAAGUGAUACUGUCGGGACUAGAGUACAGAAGGGGCAACUGGAAUUCUACGGUGUAGCGGUGAAAUGCGUAGAUAUCUGGAGGAAUACCGGUGGCGAAGGCGGCAAUCCGUGGA